UUCCCUAGACUGGAGGAGGAGUGGCUUCCAGGUGGGCUGGCAAAAGAGGGAUUUACUAGUUAUAACUAAUUAUAGUUAUGGGGAAGAAACAUAAGAAGCAUAAGGCGGAAUGGAGGUCAACAUCUGCCCCAAGUGUUACUGCUACUGGAACCGGCGCUGCUGCUUAUGAUGAUUAUAUGGACAAACCUUUGGAAAAGCCAUUGAAACUGGUGCUGAAAGUUGGAGGCAGUGAAGUGACUGAGCUUUCAGGAUCAGGACAUGAUUCCAGUUAUUAUGAUGACCGAUCAGAUCAUGAAAGAGAGCGACAUAAGGAAAAGAAAAAGAAAAAGAAAAAAAAAUCAGAGAAAGAGAAAGAAAAGCAUCUUGAUGAGGAGGAAAGGCGGAAGAGAAAGG